ACUACACGAGGGCUAGUCGCAUGCAGGGGUGGGGGCUUUAAACCAGCACGUGCAUGCCCCGCAUCACACGGAAACCAGUCUGGCAGAGGCUGGGGUGCAGGAGAGCGGGUGCGGUGGGGAAUCCUGCUCCGGUGACAAUGAACUUGGCUGCCCAUGCUCAGCACCACGUGGGGGGCACCAGCUACCCCCCUAUCCCCUGCAGGGAGAUUGAGGGACUAUUCAGGGAGUGAGGGAGAUUGCUACUAUUUCAGGGAGUCUCCUGCAGAAUGAGGGAAGGUCAUGUUUUGAGGAUUUCCGUCUGUGGAGGCAAGCAGCUGGGAUAAUUACUGACCCAACAAAAUAGAUGAACCCACCUGUGCAUGAUCUGUGCAUGACCUGCUGGUGGUACUUGCGGACUGUAGUUGAGAACCCCUGCUCUAGAUUUCAAACUGUUUUUACUGUGCAUGUUGAAACACAUUAUUAUCUACAUCCCACUCUCACCUUUC